rnacentral:lncRNA from 1 species
UUAAAAAUGAAAAUUUACAGUUUACAAAUCCAAACCUAAUCAAAUUAACCAUUACAAAUAAAUAAAAGCCCAACAUACAAAGGAAAUUAUGAAAAGCCCAACAAACAAAGACAAUUAUCAAAACCCUAACUUAUAAAGGUAAUUAUAAAAAGCGCAAAACACAAUUAUUAGCCCAACCCAAUAAAAUAUUAGGGUUUUGACAGUAAUGUGAGCAGCCCCUUCACGGUUGCGACUCCAGGUGUAACGGUGAUGGUAACAACGACGACAAUCUCCGAUGAUCUUAUUCCAUCUUUAAACAAGGUUGUGUUGUGUUGGAUCCCAAAACCCUUCAAAUUUUAGAAAUCGAAAUUGCAAUUAAAUUUAAUGUUUUGUAUCCAAUUUAUCAUCUAGAUAUUAGCGAUUCGGAAGAAGAAUUAGAAGCAGUAUCAACGAAGAAGAUCGAAAGAGCUUACCUUUACGAUUUCUUCGGUUGAACUUCUGUGAAAAAGAAAAGGGGUUGAAAAUGAGGAGCGUACGGAGAUGAAGUGAUGAAGUAGAAGAGAAGAGAAGAGAUGUUUGGGUAAGAAGAUCUUAUUAAAUUAGAUACAAAGUCGAAGAAGAACAAAGAAGUGACCUCUUUGAUUUCCUUGGUUGCAGCUUGAAUUUCUUAAAUGACGAGGGUAAGAAGAUGUAGAAGUGUUGAUCACGAUGAAAUGAUGAAGGAGAAGAGAUGAGAUGAUGUCUAGAUGACUAGAUCAGAGAUGAGAUGAAAGA